CGCGGCCUAUCAGCUUGUUGGUGAGGUAACGGCUCACCAAGGCUACGACGGGUAUCCGGCCUGAGAGGGCGACCGGACACACUGGGACUGAGACACGGCCCAGACUCCUACGGGAGGCAGCAGUGGGGAAUAUUGGGCAAUGGGCGAAAGCCUGACCCAGCGACGCCGCGUGAGGGAUGAAGGCCUUCGGGUUGUAAACCUCUUUCAGUUGGGAAGAAGCGAAAGUGACGGUACCAACAGAAGAAGCACCGGCUAACUAUGUGCCAGCAGCCGCGGUAAUACAUAGGGUGCAAGCGUUGUCCGGAAUUAUUGGGCGUAAAGAACUCGUAGGUGGUUCGAUACGUCGGGUGUGAAAAUCAGGGGCUCAACCCCUGACCUGCACUCGAUACGGUCGAGCUAGAGUGUGGUAGGGGAGACUGGAAUUCCUGGUGUAGCGGUGGAAUGCGCAGAUAUCAGGAGGAACACCGAUGGCGAAGGCAGGUCUCUGGGCCAUUACUGACACUGAGGAGUGAAAGCGUGGGGAGCGAACAGGAUUAGAUACCCUGGUAGUCCACGCCGUAAACGGUGGGCGCUAGUUGUGCGAACCUUCCACGGUUUGUGUGACGCAGCUAACGCAUUAAGCGCCCCGCCUGGGGAGUACGG
rnacentral:rRNA from 1 species